AACGAACGCUGGCGGCAUGCCUAACACAUGCAAGUCGAGCGAGAUCUUCGGGUCUAGCGGCGGACGGGUGAGUAACGCGUGGGAAUGUGCCCUUCUCUACGGAAUAGCCUCGGGAAACUGAGAGUAAUACCGUAUACGCCCUUUUGGGGAAAGAUUUAUCGGAGAAGGAUCAGCCCGCGUUGGAUUAGGUAGUUGGUGGGGUAAUGGCCUACCAAGCCGACGAUCCAUAGCUGGUUUGAGAGGAUGAUCAGCCACACUGGGACUGAGACACGGCCCAGACUCCUACGGGAGGCAGCAGUGGGGAAUCUUAGACAAUGGGGGCAACCCUGAUCUAGCCAUGCCGCGUGAGUGAUGAAGGCCUUAGGGUUGUAAAGCUCUUUCAGCUGGGAAGAUAAUGACGGUACCAGCAGAAGAAGCCCCGGCUAACUCCGUGCCAGCAGCCGCCGUAAAAC
rnacentral:rRNA from 1 species